rnacentral:rRNA from 1 species
UGGGGAAUUUUGGACAAUGGACGCAAGUCUGAUCCAGCCAUGCCGCGUGCGGGAAGAAGGCCUUCGGGUUGUAAACCGCUUUUGUCAGGGAAGAAACGAGUUUCUCUAAUACAGAGACUUAAUGACGGUACCUGAAGAAUAAGCACCGGCUAACUACGUGCCAGCAGCCGCGGUAAUACGUAGGGUGCAAGCGUUAAUCGGAAUUACUGGGCGUAAAGCGUGCGCAGGCGGUUAUGUAAGACAGAUGUGAAAUCCCCGGGCUCAACCUGGGACCUGCAUUUGUAACUGCAUAGCUAGAGUACGGCAGAGGGGGAUGGAAUUCCGCGUGUAGCAGUGAAAUGCGUAGAUAUGCGGAGGAACACCGAUGGCGAAGGCAAUCCCCUGGGCCUGUACUGACGCUCAUGCACGAAAGCGUGGGGAGCAAACA